GACGAACGCUGGCGGCGUGCUUAACACAUGCAAGUCGAACGGUAAGGCCCUUCGGGGUACACGAGUGGCGAACGGGUGAGUAACACGUGGGUGAUCUGCCCUGCACUUCGGGAUAAGCCUGGGAAACUGGGUCUAAUACCGGAUAGGACCCUGGGAUGCAUGUCCUGGGGUGGAAAGCUUUUGCGGUGUGGGAUGGGCCCGCGGCCUAUCAGCUUGUUGGUGGGGUGAUGGCCUACCAAGGCGACGCCGGGUAGCCGGCCUGAGAGGGUGACCGGCCACACGGGGACUGAGAUACGGGCCAGACUCGUACGGGAGGCAGCAGUGGGGAAUAUUGCACAAUGGGCGCAAGCCUGGUGCAGCGACGCCGCGUGAGGGAUGACGGCCUUCGGGUUGUAAAGCUCUUUCAGCACCGACGAAGCGCAAGUGACGGUAGGUGCAGAAGAAGGACCGGCCAACUACGUGCCAGCAGCCGCCGUAA
rnacentral:rRNA from 1 species